GGUGCUCUGUAGUCAUGGAAACAGGCUGGGCCAGGAUUGCAGGACAGAGAUGGGAAGGAUCACGGAGUCUGUCCUAGAUGUCACUAGGCUUUGCUCAGCCUCGCCCACUGCAGAGCACUCUCAGAAGGUCUCCAUCACCCACUAGGGGACAGGGUGCAACACAACUCCUUGCCUUCAAGGAGUCAAGCCCAGCUCACCCACUCUAGUAGAACCAGAAAGGAUGGCGACCCUUAGGAACCCAGAGACCCGCCUGGUCCCAUUCAAGAAACAGAGCUCAGACCCACAAGUAAUGAAGGGGGAUUCACUUUACUCACAACUCUUGAUGAAUACCAGACUCCAAAUGCAACACAUGCCUCCCUGUUACUCUCACCCUUGCUCCAGCGCCCGUGCCAAAUCCCCUUCUUCCCCUCCCGGCCUCAGUUUCCACAUUGCCUCCUGCUCCCUCUGCCCAACCUUGCUGG
rnacentral:lncRNA from 1 species